UACGAACGGUACGAGCGUUAUUCGGAAUUACUGGGCUUAAAGGGUGCGUAGGCGGCGCUUCAAGUUGGGUGUGAAAUCCCUCGGCUUAACCGAGGAACUGCGCCCAAAACUGCUGUGCUCGAGGGAGACAGAGGUGAGCGGAACUUAGGGUGGAGCGGUGAAAUGCGUUGAUAUCCUAAGGAACACCGGUGGCGAAAGCGGCUCACUGGGUCUCUUCUGACGCUGAGGCACGAAAGCUAGGGGAGCGAACGGG
rnacentral:rRNA from 1 species